rnacentral:rRNA from 1 species
AUACGGAGGGUCCAAGCGUUAUCCGGAUUCAUUGGGUUUAAAGGGUCCGCAGGCGGGAAAAUAAGUCAGUGAUGAAAGCCGACAGCUCAACUGUAGAACUGCCAUUGAUACUGUUUUUCUUGAGUAUAGAUGAAGUGGGCGGAAUAUAUCGUGUAGCGGUGAAAUGCAUAGAUAUGAUAUAGAACACCGAUUGCGAAGGCAGCUCACUAAACUAUUACUGACGCUCAGGGACGAAAGCGUGGGGAGCGAACAGGAUUAGAAACCCUAGUAGUCC